rnacentral:lncRNA from 1 species
GCAUUCUAGAAUUGUUUUUGUCCUUGUAUCUUUUGUCAGCCUGGUCUUAUUUUGGUUUUGCGAGAUGUUGCAUAGGUGGUUAGUUUUUGGUCUUUAUAGCAUAAACUACAUACUUUCUUUGGUAUCAUGAUAGCUUAAAAAGAAAUAGCUUUGUUCUUUCCUAAAAAUUUUAUGUAUAAAUGUGUUAGUCACAAGUGCCAAGCAUCAAUCAGUUCAGCAUUUUGUGGACUUCAUGCUUCAGAACUGAAGAUUCACUCUUCACUUUAAGUAACAAGGCAAUGCAAUUUUGGCUAUGGGAUCAUCUUGCUGCUUUCAUUGGUUCAUCAUUUUGCCCUGCUUAAAUUUUGUCAUCAUGAAAAUGCAAAACAGAAGCUGCAGAGUAUUAUUUGUGUAGAAAUCUAUAUUUCCAUGCUACUAUUGUCUUGUGUGAAAAUUCUUGUUUCAUAAUGCUGUUUUCUUGCAAACUGUGCAGAUAAUGCUGGAGUUAUCGUGAAUCCAAAGGGGGAAAUGAAAGGUAUGACAUAUGCUAUUUGGCAAAUUGAAGCAUAUUAUAUAUAUAUAAAGAAAAGUAGCAGAGUCUACAACAUCUUGUUUCUCAUUAUAGCCACCUCAGUUUCGCAUUAUAGCAUUGAUAAUUAGACCUCAACUCUGUUGAAGUAAUACACUGAUCUGCUGGUGAAGUUCCA